CCCCACUAUGCCCAGCCAUAAACUUUUAUUUACACCUAAAUCGCCUGGGAACUACGAGCAAAGCUUAAAACCCAAAGGACUUGACGGUACCCCACAUCCACCUAGAGGAGCCUGUCCUAUAAUCGAUAAUCCCCGUUAAACCUCACCACUUUUAGCCCAUCAGCCUGUAUACCUCCGUCCUCAGCUUACCCCGUGAGUGGACCUAGUAAGCCUAAUGCCUUUACGCCAACACGUCAGGUCAAGGUGCAGCAAAUGAAGUGGGAAGAGAUGGGCUACACUCUCUAAUAUAGAAAAUACGAAAGACUACCUAUGAAAUCUAGUCAGAAGGCGGAUUUAGAAGUAAAAAGAAAAUAGUAUAUUCUUUUUAACCCGGCACUGGGGUGUGUACACACCGCCCG
rnacentral:rRNA from 1 species